CACGUAGGGGGCGAGCGUUGUCCGGAUUUAUUGGGCGUAAAGAGCGUGUAGGCGGCCAGGUAGGUCGGUUGUGAAAACUGGAGGCUCAACCUUCAGAGGUCGACCGAAACCAUCUGGCUAGAGUCCGGGAGAGGAGAGUGGAAUUCCUGGUGUAGCGGUGAAAUGCGCAGAUAUCAGGAAGAACACCCGUGGCGAAGGCGGUUCUCUGGGACGGUACUGACGCUGAGACGCGAAAGCGUGGGGAGCGAACAGG
rnacentral:rRNA from 1 species